AUUUGGGAUCGAUUUAGGCCCAGAAGCUCAUACCCAAAUGACGAGGAGAUAUGCGGAAUGAAGAUUUCCAAACUCAUGUUCAAGAGUGGAAAAGACCGAAAUAGAUUCAAUCAGGUGUCCCGAUCAAGAGGAAACGGUUAGCUAGGCCGUUGGAAUCGUUACGGAGAUUCCCAAGGUACCCGAAACGGGCUGCCCCUCCAUGGAACAUCUACAUAAUGAUGGUGAGUGGCAUGUGACCAUCGAACGGCCUCAAAUUUCCCGGUGGUAGGAAGAACUGAAAUUGGUUUCCAACCAUCACCUGACCUCACACGGGAGGCCCCCAAGGGCUAUAGUCAUAGUGAUCCUCCUAUUCAACUACUUCAACCAUUUCCGAGCACCUCAUAUCUUUUUUGGGGCGUCCGAAGAUUCGAUCAUUUUUGUAUGAUUUCUUUUGCACUGCCCUUUCCAAUGGGUUUCGAAGAGGCUUAUCGAGCCUAUUUUUAUAGAGUGUAUAGCAAUUCUGCCAAUGCAGUACGAAUUGCAUGGCUGGCACAAUAUGAGUACUAUAACCACGCUGCCUGUAUGAAAAAACAAACUUUGCAGAACCCUUUCACCUAAUCGAUCGUGGUGAAGUCAGCAAUGGAUUCGGCGGAUCAUACACCUUACGCUAGGAUUUGGGAAGGACAUUUACGAGACUGAGGUGAGUUUUAAGAGAAAGACGGGGGUGGA
rnacentral:lncRNA from 1 species